ACGAACGCUGGCGGCGUGCUUCACACAUGCAAGUCGAACGGAAAGGCCCUGCUUUUGUGGGGUGCUCGAGUGGCGAACGGGUGAGUAACACGUGAGUAACCUGCCCUUGACUUUGGGAUAACUUCAGGAAACUGGGGCUAAUACCGGAUAGGAGCUCCUGCUGCAUGGUGGGGGUUGGAAAGUUUCGGCGGUUGGGGAUGGACUCGCGGCUUAUCAGCUUGUUGGUGGGGUAGUGGCUUACCAAGGCUUUGACGGGUAGCCGGCCUGAGAGGGUGACCGGCCACAUUGGGACUGAGAUACGGCCCAGACUCCUACGGGAGGCAGCAGUGGGGAAUAUUGCACAAUGGGCGGAGGCCUGAUGCAGCAACGCCGCGUGCGGGAUGACGGCCUUCGGGUUGUAAACCGCUUUCGCCUGUGACGAAGCGUGAGUGACGGUAAUGGGUAAAGAAGCACCGGCUAACUACG
rnacentral:rRNA from 1 species